rnacentral:rRNA from 1 species
UACGGAGGGUGCAAGCGUUGUCCGGAAUCACUGGGUUUAAAGGGUACGUAGGCGGCGCGUUAAGUCAGUGGUCAAAUCCAACGGCCACGUGACUGCCAUUGAUACUGGCGCGCUUGAGUACCGCAGGGGCGAGGCGGAAUUUGUGGUGUAGCGGUGAAAUGCAUAGAUACCACAAGGAAUCCCAAAACGCGAAGGCAGCCUGCUGGGCGGUAACUGACGCUGAUGUACGAAAGCGUGGGGAUCAAACAGGAUUAGAAA